AGCUUGGUAACUUCUGCGUGUGGUCACCUCAGCCAGAACUGUUGAAGAGUUUUCUCCUGGCAGGAAUGAUGACGUGCAUGUGCUGUUAUCCACUUGCACGAUGUAUUACGCCUGACCGUUCCAUUUCCCCUGCUAUUGAGUGGUAGAUGGUGGAUUAGUACUUUGAGCCUACGAGAGAGGCUGCAUGGGAACAUAAUGGGAUCUCGCAUCAUUUUUAAUGGGUGGGAUGGCUGGCUGACCACUGAGCGGGAUGGGUCAGGAAUUAUCUAGCGUCCCCGUGAGAAAGAAGGAAACCACAGGUGAUGCUUGGCCACGGUGGCUGGUGCCGGCAGC